rnacentral:tRNA from 1 species
UGCCCCUUAGCUCAGCGGUAGAGCAACCGGCUGUUAACCGGUGGGUCGCUGGUUCGAAUCCGGCAGGGGCAG